rnacentral:lncRNA from 10 species
ACAGGUACGUGGGCGGGCGGAUCGUGGUGGCUGCGCUUGCGAGGACCCUGAGGUAGAUUGGGUGGUUUCAACAGGAACGCAUCCACUGUCUGAGAGUUUAAACUUGAUUUUGUGAGGGGACGAACAGCGUGACAAUUAAAAGAAGAUCUGGGAAUCAAAAGCUUCCUGAGGCCUUCACCAGAAGCAGAUGCUGGUGCCGUGCUUCUACAGCCUGCAGAACUCAGAGCAACUGGGAACCUAAUUCUGACCAAAAAGGAGGAAUUGUUUGGCUAAUUGGAAGUGACAGAAACCUUGGGAGAAAGCAACCGCAUACCAAGGAUAAUUAUAAGAAGGUAACAUGGGCCCUAAAGGAUAGUGUCAAGAAACCUGAAACCCCCAAAUGAGGUGAGACUUGCAAAAAAUGCUAAGGAAGGACAAAAAACAGGCCUUUUAAAAUUCUGUUCAGAACCAGAAGAUGAUCAAGAAAGGGAAAUGCCCACUAGCAGCUUCUACUGUAAGGUUAGAGCUGACAGAGAAAGAACUCCUUAACUACUAUUUGCUUCAUUCUC